CUAUUACUCGCACUGUGGUGGAUUCAUACCGGCGCUCAACUGACGCUCAGGCACGAAAGCGUGGGUAUCCUAACAGGCUUAGAUACCCUGGUAGUCCACGCAGUAAACGAUGAAUGCUCACUGUCCGGGCCGUUUAAGGCCUGGGUGGUCAAGCGAAAGCGUUAAGCAUUCCACCUGGGGAGUACGCCGGCAACGGUGAAACUCAAAGGAAUUGACGGGGGCCCGCACAAGCGGAGGAACAUGUGGUUUAAUUCGAUGAUACGCGAGGAACCUUACCCGGGCUCAAACGGAAGGGGACAGUAUGAGAAAUCAUACAUUCCUUCGGGACCGCUUCCGAGGUGCUGCAUGGUUGUCGUCAGCUCGUGCCGUGAGGUGUCGGCUUAAGUGCCAUAACGAGCGCAACCCCUAUCGACAGUUGCUAGCAGGUAAAGCUGAGGACUCUGUCGAGACUGCCGGCGCAAGCUGUGAGGAAGGCGGGGAUGACGUCAAAUCAGCACGGCCCUUACGUCCGGGGCGACACACGUGUUACAAUGGCAGGUACAGCGGGAAGCCACCCGGCGACGGGGCGCAGAACCCGAAAACCUGUCUCAGUUCGGAUUGGAGUCUGCAACCCGACUCCAUGAAGCUGGAUUCGCUAGUAAUCGCGCAUCAGCCACGGCGCGGUGAAUACGUUCCCGGGCCUUGUACACACCGCCCGUCAAGCCAUGGAAGCCGGGGGUGCCUGAAGUGCGUGACCGCAAGGGACGCCCUAGGGUAAAACCGGUGACUGGGGCUAAGUCGUAACAAGGUAGC
rnacentral:rRNA from 1 species